CUCUAAACACAAAGACAAAGCCCGCCACCGCGACUGUGACUACCACCGACGACUGCUACUAUCUGUGUACACCUUCUACUCGAAAGGAGUCUGUUCUUAGGAAGCCAAUGCAGAUAUGAACAUGUUAAAGUUUUUUGAUCACAGUCCUCCACUACAUCUGCGUCCACAAUUUCUCGCCAAUUUUUGGUUUCUGAUCCAAUUUUUGGUCUCAUUCAUUCUGUAUAUCUUGUAUCAGGAAUUGGCAUAGUAGUUCCCCAACCUCUGGAAUGGAUGCCAACUCUACAUUGAGUGCAUGCCUAAUAUGUAGAAAGGUUUCAUACUUUGUCAUUCCUAGUGCCAUUUGGUAUUCUACAAAAGAAGAAAAAUAGGAAAUUGUUGACAGUUACAAAGCAAAACUCAGGUUAUGGAGCAUAGACUUGGCCAUUUGCCUUUUUCUAAGAAGCAAGUAGUCACUUCAACAGAUGUGUUUUAGGAGAAAAAUUAGUAGCAACGCAUGCACUCAAUUCAAAUAUUUCCGGAGUAGGAGUUUGCUUCUCGUGGAUUUCAUGCUUGUGAAGAAUGCCACUAAUUUUUGUUUUUGUACCACGGAGGAUGCUGAGGAAAACUUUUAAUUUUGAUUUCUGUUUUUUUGACUUAUGAAUAACAUUAUGUAUUUAAACAUUAUAUAUGCAUUAUGGAACAUUAUGUA